AUUGAACGCUGGCGGCAGGCUUAACACAUGCAAGUCGAGCGGAGAUGAGGUGCUUGCACCUUAUCUUAGCGGCGGACGGGUGAGUAAUGCUUAGGAAUCUGCCUAUUAGUGGGGGACAACAUUCCGAAGGGAAUGCUAAUACCGCAUACGUCCUACGGGAGAAAGCAGGGGAUCUUCGGACCUUGCGCUAAUAUAUGAGCCUAAGUCGGAUUAGCUAGGUGGUGGGGUAAAGGCCUACCAAGGCGACGAUCUGUAGCGGGUCUGAGAGGAUGAUCCGCCACACUGGGACUGAGACACGGCCCAGACUCCUACGGGAGGCAGCAGUGGGGAAUAUUGGACAAUGGGGGGAACCCUGAUCCAGCCAUGCCGCGUGUGUGAAGAAGGCCUUAUGGUUGUAAAGCACUUUAGGCGAGGAGGAGGCUACUGAGACUAAUACUCUUGGAUAGUGGACGUUACUCGCAGAAUAAGCACCGGCUAACUCUGUGCCAGCCGCCGCCGUAAAAC
rnacentral:rRNA from 1 species